ACUCCUACGGGAGGCAGCAGUGGGGAAUAUUGGACAAUGGGGGCAACCCUGAUCCAGCGACGCCGCGUGUGUGAAGAAGGCCUGCGGGUUGUAAAGCACUUUUAGUGGGGAGGAAAACCCCCGACCUAACACGUCGGGAAUUGACUUAACCCACAGAAAAAGCACCGGCUAACUCUGUGCCAGCAGCCGCGGUAAUAC
rnacentral:rRNA from 1 species